rnacentral:rRNA from 1 species
GAGUUCUGGGCCGCACGCGCGCUACACUGACGGAGCCAGCGAGUACUUCCUUGUCCGAAAGGUCCGGGUAAUCUUGUUAAACUCCGUCGUGCUGGGGAUAGAGCAUUGCAAUUAUUGCUCUUCAACGAGGAAUCCCUAGUAAGCGCAAGUCAUCAGCUUGCGUUGAUUACGUCCCUGCCCUUUGUACACACCGCCCGUCGCUACUACCGAUUGAAUGGCUCAGUGAGGCGUCCGGACUGGCCCAGAGUGGUGGGCAACUACCGCUCAGGGCCGGAAAGCUCUCCAAACUCGGUCAUUUAGAGGAAGUAAAAGUCGUAACAAGGUCUCCGUUGGUGAACCAGCGGAGGGAUCAUUACCGAGUUUACAACUCCCAAACCCCUGUGAACAUACCUUUAUGUUGCCUCGGCGGAUCAGCCCGCGCCCCGUAAAACGGGACGGCCCGCCGCAGGAACCACAAAACUCUGAUUUUAGUGUAACUUCUGAGUCUAAAAAACAAAUAAAUCAAAACUUUCAACAACGGAUCUCUUGGUUCUGGCAUCGAUGAAGAACGCAGCAAAAUGCGAUAAGUAAUGUGAAUUGCAGAAUUCAGUGAAUCAUCGAAUCUUUGAACGCACAUUGCGCCCGCCAGUAUUCUGGCGGGCAUGCCUGUUCGAGCGUCAUUUCAACCCUCAAGCCCCCGGGUUUGGUGUUGGGGAUCGGGCUGUACUCCAGCCCGGCCCCGAAAUCUAGUGGCGGUCUCGCUGCAGCCUCCAUUGCGUAAUAGCUAACACCUCGCAACUGGAACGCGGCGCGGCCAACCGUUUAACCCCCACUUCUGGAAUGUUGACCUCGGAUCAGGUAGGGAAUACCCGCUGAACUUUAGCAUAUCAAUAAGCGGAGGAAAAAAAACCCACAGGGAUUGCCCUAAUAACGGCGAGUGGAACGGCCACCGCUCCAAAUUUUAAAUCUGGGUUCUCCGGGCCCA